GUCCUGUUAAUCAUGUUGAUGUCUACUUUUGGUAAUGUAUGUCAUUGGGUUCACAGGUUGCUGCCUCAUUGACACCUCCUUUCAUUGAUGCUGCAUCUAUUGUUUUACUGUCUUGUUUUGCAUAAAAACAAAUUUUCAGUGUAUUCCUCAUGCCAUGGUUUUGUUUCAAGGUUUAGAUAGCCAAUUGGUAUAUAUUCACUGAUAACAUUUGUAUUCUUUUAUGGACUUUUUUUAGUGUGAAAAAAUGCCUCUUAAAAGUGCAAAAAAGUAUUUUUCUUUUUUAAGUUGACCAGUCCAGACUUGGUUUACUAACAGUUUAUUUAAAUUACUUUUCAUAACAACGUGUCCCACUCCUUAUAUGUUUGUAUAAGCUAAAUGCAUUUGUUUUAAAAAAAAAUCGAGCAUAAAUCAUUUUGACCGUUUGGUGUAUGUACAAAAUCAGUGGCAUCUUCUAGAUAUACUUUGUUUGUUUUUCUUCUGCUUAUGGUUUUGAAUUGCGUUCCCUCCUUCAAAUGUGAAGAACAUUGCGCAUCUCUCCUCCCCCCUUUUUUUUUACACAUAUCAAGAUGCAAACUCCUUUAUACACUACAUAUAAAUACAACAAACUUAUGAUCUUGGAUGAAGUUCAUAUUUCGGCGUCAUAUCACUUUUCCAUCAAGUAUUUUUAAAGUUAACAACCCCAAAAUGUAUUUAUAGCGUACACACGACUGUUCGAGUGGUCCCAGUCAAUAGAAAAAAUGCCAUUUAUUGUAUAAUUAUUUACUUGCUUACGUAGCACGGACAUGCAUGAAAGAAUAUAACUACUUGAUGUUUCAGUUUGCAUUAAAAUUUAUGUAACAGUUUGUGUUGUUAUAUCAUCUUACCAAGGUUUGAUGUGCUGUUAUUUUCCUUCGCGGUCAUGGAAGCCAUGCUGUCUGGUGUUUUCCACGACUUGUAUGUCGUCACAAAAAAAAUAUAAAUAGCUUUAAACAACAAUCGGUACACUCGGGCUUUUCAAUAGUAUUAUCGUAAUAUAAUUUCUUCCGAAGUCAAUAACCAACUUCUUGGUUAUUCGUCUUGGACAUUAUCUUUAAAAACAAGCUAAAAAAGCCGAUACUAUUCCGAAUGUCAUAAAUUACCAUUUUUAUAUCACUUGUCAUCCAGACGCUCUACUUUGAAAAAUAAAGCGGCUGGAUGAUCGAGACUAG
rnacentral:lncRNA from 1 species